AAAGACUUCCUUGGAAGGAGACAAUGAGUAGCCAUCAGCUUGGAAUCAGCUCCUCAGGAUCCCAAUUGUUGACGAUUGUCUGCAGUUUGCUGCUUUGAUGAGGUCUCUCUCUGGCUCCAGACAGUUCCUGGCUCCCCACUGACUACAGGCAUGCACAGAGCACCCCGCAAGAGGCUCCC
rnacentral:lncRNA from 1 species